ACACAAGGAAGGAGGUGGUCUGAAGUUGAUUGACAUACGGACACGUGAGGUGACCAUCCGUUAGACGCUGACCGUGUGGCAUUCGUGUCGCACCGUGGUGGACACACCCGGCGCCUGCGAAUACCCGAUGGUCACCCGACCCCCGCACCCCGACCCGUCCGGUCGGCCGGGCCCCAUCCGGGGCGGUGCGGGGGUCGUUCCAU
rnacentral:sRNA from 1 species